GAAACGUGAGGGAAUUUUUGUCAGAGCCUCACCCUGAGGAUGUGGUGGUAUUCCUGAAGGUAAAGUCAAUGCUUAUAGACCAUCCUGAGCCAAGGAAAGGUAUAGGAGUCUGGGGACAGAAGAAGGAUGGCCAUUCAUAAGAAGGUUGAAUGUCUCUGAUGAUGUCAGCAGGUGUGCUGGUGAACUUUCUGGGUGGCCCAUUCAACAAAAGGCAUGAACAAGAUUGUCUAAACGUGAGCUAUUUGAGAUCACGACCUUUUGAGAUCAUGACCUGAGCCGAAAUCAAGAGUCGGACACUUAACCAACAGAGCCACCCAGGUUCUAUCGUGGCAAU